GAUCAGCAAAUCUGCCACCAUGAAUUACGUGGCUGCUGCUGUAUUAUUUUUUCAACAACAAACGACGCCGUCAUUGUUUUUACUUUCUUCAGCUGAGAAGAGAGGCGACACCGUUUUGAAACAGCCCCAUUAUGGUACUGUUUAUUUGUUUUUUCAGAACAGUACCUCCCCCUCUGCAACUCUUUCCUUCCUCUGCAGCCGCUCCUGCUGGUUUGUUUUCAUCCCCUCGUCCUCGCGUCCUCAGGCCAGUUUGGUCUGUACGAGUGCCACCUAUUGUACUCCAGGUCUGCAGCUGCAAGUAAAACAAUUUUAGCAAGGGAUCGAAUGGCCGUGUACGUUCUUUUGAAGGAAGACAAAGGGACCAUUUAAGGGUUGGGAUUUUACCCCUAAGACAGACGGCUAGGAUAAGAGGGGGUGGGGCUGGUCUCCAAGUUUGCUUGGCUAUAUGAGCAAGCUGGAGAGAAGGACGAAAAAGAGAAAAAGAAAAGGGGGGGAAGAGAAAAGAGAGAGACAGAGAGAGUUUAAAUACAGAGAGAAAAGAGGAGGCGGAGAAAAAGAAAAAGGGAGAGUUAGCAUAAGGCUGAGGUUAGAGAAGCCGAAAAUCAUUGAGAACGUUAAGAGAUUACCUUGAGUCUAUCCUACUUUAUCGAACCGGGGUUUGCAAAGACUCUAAGAGGUUUUUGAAAAGCUCCUAACGGCAGAAAAAGAGGAAGGCUUGCUUCGGGUCAUUGUUGGUGAAAAGGCAGAAGCUUUUCCACCGGUUGCAUCUCGUUUCUCUGCGUUCAAACGUGCAGGAUCAGCAGGUAUGAGUCUUGAUUUUCUUUUUUUCUUUAACAUCUGUAAAGCUGUUUGUUUGGUUUUCUUUUCUUUUCAAAAUCUGUUUUCUGUUUCUGUUUUGGGACGUUCGUUUUCCAUCUUAGCAACAAAGUUGUAUGCUUGCCCACUGAAUCUCCCAUGCCUUAAUUUAGAUUAUUAUUCACGUUAGAGCUGCGUUUGUUUUUCCUUCUGCUGGUUACUCAUACGGCGACUCAUUUAGAGAGAAAAAUGAGAGAAAGUCCUCUUCAGGAGGUGAUGUUUCGGCUGGCUUUGGAGUGUGCUUUUCCUUCCUGCUUUCUUUCAAAGAGAGAUAGCUGGCCAUUUGAUUUGUUGUUUCUUCUUUGGUGUCUUUGAUAUACAUGAUAUAAAUGCAUGCUCUUUCGGCUUUCAUUUUUGUAUAAAACCAACCAUGGCAGCGUCAUAAAUUAGAAAAAGGGGAGGCGAGCAACGUGGUCUGUAUUAGGUUCGGUUUUCAAAUGUUUGGCUUCCAUGUGUGUAUGACUUAAUCCCUCCUAUCGAAGAUGAUGUGUCAUGCUGUACUUAGGCUUUGAGUUGAUAAGUUAUGUUUAGUUUCUUGUUCCAUUGCUGUGAGAAACCGUGGGUUGCAAAGGUUUUCAUCAUCCCUGCCUUCCGUUGCUUUGAUCGUCACUUUGCAAAUGGAAUAUGGCAUAGGAAUAAGUGGCUUAUAGGUGCAGAAGAAAGAGUAAAAAACGUGAGGGAAGGUCUGUCUAAUUAAAGGAAAGAACGUGAGGGAGGGUCUGUUUAAUUAAGGGACUUUGUUUUUUUUUUUUUUUUUUCGGCGGGUUUUGGUUGCAUGCUUUCUGUCUCUGUUUUGUGAAAAUAAGAUAGCAUACACGUUAUUUUUUAGUCUCAGCAUUUAAUAUGUGUUCUUUACCGUUGUGUGAAACGAGCAUGGCAUUUGUUUCAAGAUAAAAAGGAUGGUGGUGGGUCACUGUGUUUCUGUUAUAGAUGUUAGUUUCAGAACCUUGUUUUUUUUUCGGUGCGUGUGGACUCGUGUUUUUCUUUUGAGAAUAAUGGGCAGACUUGUAUUCAAGAUUUAAGUUUAAGUUUGAAUGCUGGGGCUCGGUGGUUUGUGUUGAACCGUGGUCAGCUUCCUGUGAAUGCUGGGAUACAUACGUGUACGGUUUGUUUUCUUGUUACUGUGGUACUCGGUUUAAUGGCAUAGUUGUGUUUUUUUUUUUUUGAUAAAAAUGUAAAAUUCUUUUUUGUACGAUGCAUACGGCCAAUACCCUAAUAUAUUUUAAAUUGUUUUUUUUAAAGAAAAUAUUCGAGGUUUCAAAAAAUAUAUUUUAGCAUAGAUUUCUUAAACACAAAAAUUAUUUUUCUUGCAUCUUGGAUUUUACAACAUGUUUAUAAAUUCCAAAAGGUGUUGGCCAAUAUUCCAAAAAAUAAAAAAAUCUUAUUUUUGGGAAUUCAUUUUUAUUCACUGUUAAUGUUUGGAUAAAGAAAUCCUAAAUGGGUAAAUAUCCAAAAUAUUAUUAGGAAUAAUUUGUUAUUCAUUAGUAAUGUUUGGAUAAAGAAAUCCAAAAGGAGGUUAAUAUCCAAAAUAUUAUUAGGAAUAAUCUGUUAUUAUUCACUACAAAUGUUUGGAUAAAGAAAUCCCAAAUGGGUUAAUAUUCAAAAUAUUAUUGGGGAUAAUUUGUUAUGGUUCACUGUUAAUAUUUGAAUAAAGAAACCCCAAGUGGUAAAUAUCAAAAUAUUUUCUAGGAAUAAUAAGUCAUUAUCCCCUAAUAAUAUAAGGACAAAUAAACCUAUGAAAGGUAAAUGUCCAAAUAUUGUUAAUAGGAAUACAACUUAUUUAUUUUUAACAUAAGGGCAGAUUUAUGCCUAAAAAUUUAUUUAGAACAAUUUAAUUGUGUAUCUUUGAAAGAAGCCUCAAUUAUAAUUGGGGACAUUUCAAAUUUUGAUUCCACAAUUUAUAAGUCAUGAAAGCAUGAAAUACUAAGGAAAAAAUGGGCUUUUAAAUCACCUUGAAUUCCCUUGGAUUUCUAGCUUAAUUUUUUCUUUUCCUCGCGAUUUACGAGUCGCGAACACUUGAAAUACUAAGGGAAAAAUGAGCUCUUAAACACAUUGAAUCUCCUUAAAUUUCUAUCUUGGCUGUCUCUAAAUUCAUAAAUUCUAAAUUUGUUUCAAAUCAAACAUAGACUUCAAGAGAUCUGCACCGUUUCUCUUUGGCACUCUAUAGACAUAUCUAAAGGUAUGAUCCGUAUUGGCUAAGGGUUCUUUCCCUUAGACUUUGAACCCAAGUUCGUUCAUCAAAGCAGACUUAUCUUAGGAAACUGAUGGGAUUAGAGAAUAUCAACACCACAACAAUUAUAAAGCAAACCAAACACCAAGCAGCUUACCUUAGGUAGGGCGUACUAGGGGUGCUAAAACCUUUUCUUUACGCAACCAGUCCCUUGCCUUAGAAUCUCUGAAAGACCAGUUAGGUUUCCUAGUGACCAUAAUACUAGGUGGCGACUCCCUUUUUGACAAAACAAAGACCUCAACAUCAAUCCCUGCUACCAGGAAGGGUCACCGUGACGUCGAGUUCUCGCGAGGGUACGACAAUAUAUAUAAAUAAAGGAAUUUGUUAAAUUAUCUACGUAGUUUGUUUAUGGUAAUCCUCAUUCAAAUGUUCAAAAAUCUUAGUUUUCAGAAGCACAACUGCUUUAAAAGAGUUGAUUGGAAGCUUGCAUAGUCGUUAAUUUCAAGGCCUAUGAAAUUAGUUAAGAUACACGUAAACUGACCUGGACACACACAUUAAUCUUAAAAAAAAAAGUUCAGAUUAAACUAUGCACUAACUCAUAAGAAUAGUACUUGAGACUCAUAAAACCUGUUACACACUCUUAAGAAAACCACCUCAUCAUUGACUCUAUAAAAGAUCGCUCACCAGAAUUGCCUGGAAAAUGAUAAAAGAACUUAUGAUCAACAGGCAAAAUAAAUGUACGUAAUCCGAUUCUAAUUCGAUGGAGGAGAUGAAUCUUUUAGUUUAAAUGAUUCAUAAAUCUUUCUGUAAAAUUCAGAUUCUUUCUAUGUAUGUUUUUGUGAGGGAGCUAGCUUGAAGCUAAAAAUCAAAAGGAGAAAUGGCCAGAGUUGGCCAAACAAUAUUAAUAUGAUUGUAACUUGUUUGGUAUUGCGGUAACUGUUGUGGUUGUGGUUUGAAAAAAAUAGUUUUAUAAAAAGUGCUUUUAGUUGUGGUUGGUUUGGAAUUUAUAUAUGUUUGGUUAAAACUGUGGUUGAAAUUGAGGUUGAAUAAAAAGUAGUUUAUUGUGUUUGGUUAAAAAUUGUGGUUCAAUUUCAUGUUAUGGUAUAAUUACCUAAAAGGACUUCAUUCAUAAUAUUAAUGAACAAUUACAUAAAAAGUAAUCUUACAACCAUUAAAAUUUUGCAAAGACACCUAAACAUAUUAGAACAAUAAUUUAUAAUUGUGUCAUUAAACUUGCAGCAAUCCCAUCACGUACGUAAUCCAUUCGCGAAGGCAUGUGGUGUCCUUGCAUUUGUGCACGUGGAGCAACAUCAGUUAGAAAAUCAUCG
rnacentral:lncRNA from 1 species